rnacentral:rRNA from 1 species
GAUGAACGCUGACAGAAUGCUUAACACAUGCAAGUCGACUCGAGUCUUCGGACUUGGGUGGCGCACGGGUGAGUAACGCGUAAAGAACUUGCCUCUUAGACCGGGACAACAUCUGGAAACGGAUGCUAAUACCGGAUAUUAUGGUUUUUUCGCAUGGAGGAAUCAUGAAAGCUAGAUGCGCUAAGAGAGAGCUUUGCGUCCCAUUAGCUGGUUGGUGAGGUAACGGCCCACCAAGGCAAUGAUGGGUAGCCGGCCUGAGAGGGUGAACGGCCACAAGGGGACUGAGACACGGCCCUUACUCCUACGGGAGGCAGCAGUGGGGAAUAUUGGACAAUGGACCGCAAGUCUGAUCCAGCAAUUCUGUGUGCACGAUGACGUUUUUCGGAAUGUAAAGUGCUUUCAGUCGGGAAGAAGUCAGUGACGGUACCGACAGAAGAAGCGACGGCUAAAUACGUGCCAGCAGCCGCGGUAAUACGUAUGUCGCAAGCGUUAUCCGGAUUUAUUGGGCGUAAAGCGCGUCUAGGCGGCAAGGAAAGUCUGAUGUGAAAAUGCGGGGCUCAACUCCGUAUGGCGUUGGAAACUGCCUUACUAGAGUACUGGAGAGGUAGGCGGAACUACAAGUGUAGAGGUGAAAUUCGUAUAUAUUUGUAGGAAUGCCGAUGGGGAAGCCAGCCUACUGGACAGAUACUGUGCCUUAUGCGCGAAAGCUUGGGUAGCAAAUUGUG